GAGACAGCAGUCGCCGCGGUAAUACGUAGGUGGCAAGCGUUGUCCGGAAUUAUUGGGCGUAAAGCGCGCGCAGGCGGAUAGGUCAGUCUGUCUUAAAAGUUCGGGGCUUAACCCCGUGAUGGGAUGGAAACUGCUGAUCUAGAGUAUCGGAGAGGAAAGUGGAAUUCCUAGUGUAGCGGUGAAAUGCGUAGAUAUUAGGAAGAACACCAGUGGCGAAGGCGACUUUCUGGACGAAAACUGACGCUGAGGCGCGAAAGCCAGGGGAGCGAACGGGAUUAGAUACCCCUGUAGUCCCUGUCUCUUAUACA
rnacentral:rRNA from 1 species